rnacentral:lncRNA from 1 species
UAGGUCCUAGAACGUCGACGCACGUUGACAUGGCGACUCCGGAAAUCCAUCCAUUUUCUCCGUGGAUUAUCUGCUCGUAUAUGCUAUUGAUUUAUCUCUCUUUUUUUGCAGAGUACAAAAUUACAAAUAGUCAUAUUUUGUGGUGAAAACGUUCAGACUUUCAGUCACGCAUAUAUGGACCGUGCAUGAAAACUUUGUCUCACUGCAGAGCUAGGGACCUGCAUUGGCGUCUAGCUUAGAGAGUCAUCAGAGUAGUCCGAGGGAUGAGAUAUCAUGCAUGCAUGUCUGAUUAUGUGGAAGAAUGAAUGCAGUACGCUGGCCAGGCUAGCUACCAGAGUCACUGCGGGAAAAACGGACCUAUUUACCUCCGGCAAAGCCUUUGCCGGAGGCCAAAAAAAAAGCCGCCGGCAAAGAAAAAGGCACUGACGGCACGCGUUAAGGAAGACGGAUGGCCACGUGAAGACAGUUUUGCCGGAGGCUAUACUAAACCUUCGGCAAAGAAAAUCAGAGAAAUAAAAAAACAAAAAUCCCACGCCACCCGCCGCUGCACCUCGCCGGCCACUUCACCCCGCCUCUCGCCACCGCUGCUGCACCUCGCCGGCC